UAUACAUUUAAAAUGCAUGAUCUGAUGCAUGAUCUUGCCAUGUCAUUGAUGAAAAACGAGUGCUUAAUAUUGAACUUAGGUGACCAAUGUUUUACCAGAACAAUCCGACAUUUGUCUUUGAUUGAUGUUGAUACACACAAAAUAAAUCUUCCAAGCUUUUUAUCCAAUUUAGGUCAAUUGAGAUCCAUUAAUUCCUUUGCAGAUGAAGGAAAGGGAGCUAGCCAAGAAUUCAUUGAAUCGUGCAUUUCAAGGUUCAAGUUCUUGCGGGUGAUUAGAUUAGAUAACCUUGGAAUUGACGUAUUGCCCAAAAGAAUUGGUGAUUUGAGGCAUUUAAGAUAUCUCGAUCUAUCAAAUAAUAAAAUAAGAAAACUCCCUGAUUCCAUUUGCAAGCUUCAACAUUUGCAGACUCUAAUGCUUGGUGGUUGUGAAGAAUUAGAAGAGUUGCCGAAAGACAUUAGGUACCUAAUUAACCUCCAAAUGUUUUUGCUUACCACAAAACAGAGGUUUCUAUCAAAGAAUGGAGUUGGGUGCUUAAAAUCUCUUCGCUUUUUGGGAAUUGACGGGUGUAUGAAUUUAGAAUAUUUAUUUGAAGAUAUUGGUUAUCUAAAAGCCCUUAGAUCAUUGUUUAUUGUAAGUUGUCCGAAUCUAAUCUCAUUACCACAUGGUAUAAAAUACCUAGACUCAUUGGAGAAUUUGAUAUUGGUUGAUUGUGAAAAGCUUAAUCUUGAUUUGAGCAUGGGAACAGAAAGGGAAGACAAUCAUCAAGACCUCAAUAUCCCUAGAGCUCACCUUCGAGUGCUUCUUAUUCUACAAUUACCACAGUUGGAGGAAUUGCCACAGUGGCUUCUUCAAGGUUCAGCAAACACUUUGCAGAGUUUGAAUAUUCAAGAUUGUUCCAACUUCAAGGCGUUACCAGAGUCAAUGCAGGAUCUCAAAUCACUUCAAGAUGUUCAUAUUGGGGAUUGUCCAGAAUUGUCAUCUUUGCCCAUGGAUUUUAAUUGUCUGAUUGAUUUGAGAGAAUUACAAAUUGAAGAUUGUCCUUACUUGAGUGAAAGAUGCGAACCGGAAACAGGGGAAGAUUGGCCCAAGAUUGCUCAUAUCCCCAAGAUUGAACUUGAUGGAAAGAUUAUCAAAUCAACCAAAAAUUAGGAGGAAGGAACCAUACGUUUUACUUCUUCUCCGCAUGUUAAGCAUUAAUGCUCAGUUGCAAUCCUGUUUUUAAGCUCUAAUGGAGUUUCGGCCGAAUCGUUCACUUUGUAGAAGUAUGUAUUCCUCUAGCUUGAUUCAACAUCUUAUGUUUACAAUUAUAAAUAGCUUUGAACUGUUUACCUAUGUAUAAUAAUUUUAUUUGUUCAAACAAG